GACGAACGCUGGCGGCGUGCUUAACACAUGCAAGUCGAACGAAGAGCGAUGGAAGCUUGCUUCUAUCAAUCUUAGUGGCGAACGGGUGAGUAACGCGUAAUCAACCUGCCCUUCAGAGGGGGACAACAGUUGGAAACGACUGCUAAUACCGCAUACGAUCUAAUCUCGGCAUCGAGGAUAGAUGAAAGGUGGCCUCUACAUGUAAGCUAUCACUGAAGGAGGGGAUUGCGUCUGAUUAGCUAGUUGGAGGGGUAACGGCCCACCAAGGCGAUGAUCAGUAGCCGGUCUGAGAGGAUUAACGGCCACAUUGGGACUGAGACACGGCCCAGACUCCUACGGGAGGCAGCAGUGGGGAAUCUUCCGCAAUGGACGAAAGUCUGACGGAGCAACGCCGCGUGAGUGAUGACGGCCUUCGGGUUGUAAAGCUCUGUUAAUCGGGACGAAAGGCCUUCUUGCGAAUAGUGAGAAGGAUUGACGGUACCGGAAUAGAAAGCCACGGCUAACUACGUG
rnacentral:rRNA from 1 species